rnacentral:snRNA from 1 species
GUGCUGGGAUUAAAGGUGUGCGCAACCACUGCCCGCUCUGGCAGCACAUACACUAAAAUUGGAGCAAUACAGAGAAGAUUAGCAUGGCAUUUGCAUGUAGCACUUUUAAAUGUAUCACAGUUUU